rnacentral:rRNA from 1 species
ACGAACGCUGGCGGCGUGCUUAACACAUGCAAGUCGAACGCGAAAGGGACUUCGGUCCUGAGUAAAGUGGCGCACGGGUGAGUAACGCGUAGAUAACCUGUCUUCAUGUCUGGAAUAAUACGCCGAAAGGGGUACUAAUACCGGAUAUUCUUGCUUUUCAUAAGUUAUGCAAGCAAAGGUGGCCUCUGCAUAUGCUACUGCAUGAAGAGGGGUCUGCGUACCAUUAGCUAGUAGGUGGGGUAAUGGCCUACCUAGGCGACGAUGGUUAGCGGGUCUGAGAGGAUGAUCCGCCACACUGGCACUGGAACACGGGCCAGACUCCUACGGGAGGCAGCAGUGAGGAAUAUUGCGCAAUGGGGGAAACCCUGACGCAGCGACGCCGCGUGAGUUGAGGAAGGCCUUCGGGUCGUAAAGCUCUGUCAAGAGGAAAGAAGUGUACAAUGGCUAAUACCUGUUGUAUUUGACGGUACCUCUAAAGGAAGCACCGGCUAACUCCGUGCCAGCCGCGGC